GAUGAACGCUAGCGGCAGGCUUAAUACACGCAAGUCGAGGGGCAGCAUGAUUGUAGCAAUACAAUUGAUGGCGACCGGCAAACGGGUGCGGAACACGUACACAACCUUCCAACAAGUGGGGGAUAGCCCAGAGAAAUUUGGAUUAAAACCCCGUAACAUAGCGAUGUGGCAUCACAUUGCUAUCAUAGAUUUUUCGCUUGUUGAUGGGUGUGCGGCUGAUUAGAUAGUUGGCGGGGUAACGGCCCACCAAGUCUACGAUCAGUAGCUGAUGUGAGAGCAUGAUCAGCCACACGGGCACUGAGACACGGGCCCGACUCCUACGGGAGGCAGCAGUAAGGAAUAUUGGACAAUGGACGCAAGUCUGAUCCAGCCAUGCCGCGUGAAGGAUUAAGGUCCUCUGGAUUGUAAACUUCUUUUAUAAGGGACGAAAAAAGGCUUUUCUAAGUCGUCUGACGGUACCUUAUGAAUAAGCACCGGCUAACUCCGUGCCAGCCGCCGCGGUAAAAC
rnacentral:rRNA from 1 species